AGCGGCGCACGGGUGAGUAACACGUGGGUAAUCUACCUUUAGGUUUGGAAUAACUCGGGGAAACUCGGGCUAAUGCCGAAUAAGACCACGUUUCUAAUGUUUUGUGGGAAAAGUGGGGGACCCUUUCGGGGGCCUUACGCCUAAAGAUGAGCCCGCGGCCCAUCAGCUUGUUGGUGAGGUAAUGGCCCACCAAGGCUAAGACGGGUAGCUGGUCUGAGAGGAUGAUCAGCCACUCUGGAACUGAGACACGGUCCAG
rnacentral:rRNA from 1 species